CUGCUGCCUCCCGUAGGAGUCUGGUCCGUGUCUCAGUACCAGUGUGGGGGACCUUCCUCUCAGAACCCCUACGCAUCGUCGGUUAGGUGGGCCGUUACCCCGCCUACUGCCUAAUGCGCCGCAUGCCCAUCCCUGUCCGGCCGAAGCCUUUCCUGCCUCCGGGAUGCCCCGGUGGCAUGUACGCGGGUUUAGCCCGCCUUUCGGCGGGUUGUCCCCUGACAGGGGCAGGUUGCAUACGUGUUACUCACCCGUGCGCCGGUCGCCGGCGGAGAAAG
rnacentral:rRNA from 1 species